UUACUCUCCAGCCGCAGUGUCGAAGGGUAGGGGAAUGUACAGGUCAGCGGUGUUCGUUCCAAUGUGUGGCCAAUUUACGUUCCAGGGAUUUGAUGGCACACACCGCUGACCGCGUUCGACUGGAUUAAAAUGGCCGCCGCCACUUGUUCGAUUGUCUAAUGGCGGCCACUUCGGCUGUAUCCGAAGGGCCAUAUCAAACGUAUCAAUCCUUUGUACAAAACAGUUAAAGGGCCAGACAUAGUCUUUGUUCUUUAGGUACAGACAAUGUGGAUGAUGGCAAAAACAAACAGAAGGUAGAG